UCCCUUGACAAUUCCUAGCCGCUGAUGUGUCUCACCUAUCGUCGCGUGGGCCACAAAUUGGCAAGUACUCUCUGAAUGUCAACAAUGAGAACAAGCAUAGCAAGUAAGAGGGCUGAAAGACAAGAAACACGUUCGUCAUCCUCAUGCACCAGAGAGAGAGAGAGAAAAAAAAAAAAAACAAUUAUAGAGACAAAAUAGUAACCUAAGAGCAGUUUAAAAAGAAGACAGGUGUGACUAAGCCCAAGAAAUUUUGCUGAGGUGGCCUGAAACAGACGGGCAGCCAAGAGGUGUUCUGGUCAAGGAAAAAAAAGUUCAACUAAAGGUGCCAGUCCCAAAAGAGCAGUCAGAUAACAAGCUUGAAAUUACACUGAUAACUGUACUGAAAUCUCCCUCUUGAAAACAUUUAAGUCAAAGGCAGAGGAAAUACAGAAACUGGCAGGGACUUUCACUUAAAAAAAAAAGAUGAUAGAUUAAGAAAGCUGAUUGACUCUUGCUUUAGGGAGGUGGACGGAAUAGUCUUUGUCCUGGUGUGGGGGCGUGAAGAAAUAGUAAAGUAGAUGAUGAUGAUAAUGAUGACUUCGAUAAUGAUGACGAUGUUGAUGUUUCGCUACUAAAAAUACAAUGACAGCGUGAAGAAAACAACACAAUACAUCUAAGUUCUACGAGA